rnacentral:rRNA from 1 species
GAUGAACGCUGGCGGCGUGCCUAAUACAUGCAAGUCGAGCGAACGGACGAGAAGCUUGCUUCUCUGAUGUUAGCGGCGGACGGGUGAGUAACACGUGGAUAACCUACCUAUAAGACUGGGAUAACUUCGGGAAACCGGAGCUAAUACCGGAUAAUAUUUUGAACCGCAUGGUUCAAAAGUGAAAGACGGUCUUGCUGUCACUUAUAGAUGGAUCCGCGCUGCAUUAGCUAGUUGGUAAGGUAACGGCUUACCAAGGCAACGAUGCAUAGCCGACCUGAGAGGGUGAUCGGCCACACUGGGACUGAGACACGGUCCAGACUCCUACGGGAGGCAGCAGUAGGGAAUCUUCCGCAAUGGGCGAUAGCCUGACGGAGCAACGCCGCGUGAGUGAUGAAGGUCUUCGGAUCGUAAAACUCUGUUAUUAGGGAAGAACAUAUGUGUAAGUAACUGUGCACAUCUUGACGGUACCUAAUCAGAAAGCCACGGCUAACUACGUG